UUGAACGCUGGCGGCAUGCUUUACACAUGCCAGUCGAACGGUAACAGGCCUUCGGGUGCUGACGAGUGGCGAACGGGUGAGUAAUGCAUCGGAACGUACCCAGAGGUGGGGGAUAACGCAGCGAAAGCUGUGCUAAUACCGCAUGUGAUCUGAGGAUGAAAGCGGGGGACCGAGCAGCAAUGUUUGGCCUCGCGCCUUUGGAGCGGCCGAUGUCGGAUUAGCUAGUUGGUGGGGUAAAGGCCUACCAAGGCGACGAUCCGUAGCUGGUCUGAGAGGACGACCAGCCACACUGGGACUGAGACACGGCCCAGACUCCUACGGGAGGCAGCAGUGGGGAAUUUUGGACAAUGGGCGCAAGCCUGAUCCAGCAAUGCCGCGUGCGGGAAGAAGGCCUUCGGGUUGUAAACCGCUUUUGGCAGGAACGAAACGGUGUCCGCUAAUACCGGGCGCUAAUGACGGUACCUGCAGAAUAAGCACCGACUAACUACGUG
rnacentral:rRNA from 1 species